rnacentral:tRNA from 1 species
CGGAGCUUGGUGGAGGCGGUUCAUCGAUAUAAGCCUUUAUGGGGUGCAGGUGGUCGGAGGUUCAAAUCCUCUCGCCCCGACCA